rnacentral:rRNA from 1 species
GACGAACGCUGGCGGCGUGCUUAACACAUGCAAGUCGAAGAAAGUGGCGAACGGGUGAGUAACGCGUAAUCAACCUGCCCUGCACUUCGGGAUAAGCCUGGGAAACUGGGUCUAAUACCGGAUAGGGUGGGCUCGCGGUCUAUCAGCUUGUUGGUGGGGUGAUGGCUUACCAAGGCUUUGACGGGUAGCCGGCCUGAGAGGGUGGUCGGACACAUUGGGACUGAGAUACGGCCCAGACUCCUGCGGGGGGCAGCAUUGGGGGAUAUUGCACAAUGGGCGCAAGCCUGAUGCAGCGAAACCGCGUGGGGGAUGAAGGCCUUCGGGUUGUAAACUUCUUUUGCUCUGAACGUGUAGGGGUUGAUUAGCGCCGACUAACUACGUGCCAGCAGCCGCGGUAAUAC